AUAACGAAGAGUUUGAUCCUGGCUCAGAGCGAACGUUGGCGAGAUGUCUUAAGCAUGCAAGUCGAGCGGUAAAGGUAGCAAUAUCUGAGAGCGGCGGACUGGUGCGUAACACGUAGAUUAUCUGCCCUGAAGACUGGGAUAGCCGGUGGAAACACCGAUUAAUACCGGAUAUUGAGGAAACUUGAAAGCUGCGUCUGCAGCACUUCGGGAUGAGUCUGCGUCCUAUUAGCUAGUUGGCGGGGUAAUAGCCCACCAAGGCAACGAUAGGUAGCCGGCCUGAGAGGGUGUACGGCCACAUUGGGACUGAGAUACGGCCCAGACUCCUACGGGAGGCAGCAGCUAAGAAUAUUCCGCAAUGGGCGAAAGCCUGACGGAGCAAUCUCGCGUGAGUGAUGAAGGCUUUCGGGUUGUAAAGCUCUUUUGACCGGGAAGAAUAAGUCGAUCAGGGAAUGGGUCGGCGAUGACGGUACCGGUCGAAUAAGGACCGACUAAUUACGUGCCAGCAGUCGCGGUAAUACGUAGGGUCCAAACGUUGCUCGGAAUCAUUGGGCGUAAAGGGUACGCAGGCGGUUGGGUAAGUCUGUGGUGAAAUUUCGAGGCUCAACCUCGAAACUGCCAUGGAUACUGCCCGGCUAGAGUUGUAAUAUGGGUGGCAAGAAUUCCUGGUGUAGGAGUGAAAUCUGUAGAUAUCAGGAGGAAUACCAAUAGCGAAGGCAAGCCACUGGGUAACGACUGACGCUCAGGUACGAGAGCUAGGGGAGCAAAUGGGAUUAGAGACCCCAGUAGUCCUAGCUGUAAACUAUGUUCACUAGUGUUGCGGGUAUUUAUUUAUCUGCAUCACAAAGCUAACGCGUUAAGUGAACCGCCUGGGGAGUAUGCACGCAAGUGUGAAACUCAAAGGAAUUGACGGGGGCUCGCACAAGCGGUGGAGCAUGUGGUUUAAUUCGAUGGUAAGCGAAAAACCUUACCUGGGCUUGAACGUGUAGUGACAGUCGGUGAAAGCCGAUCUUCCUUCGGGACACUAUGCGAGGUGCUGCAUGGCUGUCGUCAGCUCGUGUUGUGAAAUGUUGGGUUAAGUCCCGCAACGAGCGCAACCCUUACCCUAUGUUGCCAGCAUUUAGUUGGGCACUCUUAGGGAACUGCCCUGGUUAACGGGGAGGAAGGCGGGGAUGACGUCAAGUCCUCAUGGCCCUUAUGUCCAGGGCUACACACGUGCUACAAUGGGUCGUACAAAGGGGUGCAAAACCGCAAGGUCAAGCAAAUCCCAAAAAACGGCUCUCAAUUCGGAUUGGAGUCUGAAACCCGACUCCAUGAAGCUGGAAUCGCUAGUAAUCACAGAUCAGCACGCUGUGGUGAAUACGUUCUCGAGCCUUGUACACACCGCCCGUCACACCACCCGAGUCAAAUCUACUUGAAGUCGCCGUACCAACCGCAAGGGGGCAGGCGCCGAAAGUGGGUUUGGUGAGGAGGGUGAAGUCGUAACAAGGCGACCGUAGCGGAAGCUGUGGUUGGAUCACCUCCUUU
rnacentral:rRNA from 1 species